GUGAUCGCUUCGGCAGCACAUACACUAAAAUUGGAACAAUACAGAGAUUAGCAUGGCCCGUGUGCAAGGAUGACAUGCAAAUUUGUGAAGCAUUCCAUAUUUUA